rnacentral:rRNA from 1 species
AGAGUUUGAUCCUGGCUCAGAACGAACGCUGGCGGCGUGCCUAACACAUGCAAGUCGAACGUGAUCCGCCCUUCGGGGUGGUGAAAGUGGCGCACGGGUGAGUAACGCGUGGAUAAUCUGCCCGAGGAUUUGGGAUAACAUCUUGAAAGGGGUGCUAAUACCGAAUAAGCCCACGGGGUCUACGGAUCUUGCGGGAAAAGGGGGGGACCUUCGGGCCUCCUGUCCUUGGAUGAGUCUGCGUACCAUUAGCUAGUUGGUGGGGUAAUGGCCUACCAAGGCGACGAUGGUUAGCUGGUCUGAGAGGAUGAUCAGCCACACUGGAACUGAGACACGGUCCAGACUCCUACGGGAGGCAGCAGUGGGGAAUUUUGCGCAAUGGGGGAAACCCUGACGCAGCAACGCCGCGUGGGUGAUGAAGGCCUUCGGGUCGUAAAGCUCUGUCUGGAGGGAAGAAAUGAUUGGGAGCUAAUACCUCUUGAUCUUGACGGUACCUCUGAAGGAAGCACCGGCUAACUCCGUGCCAGCAGCCGCGGUAAUACGGAGGGUGCAAGCGUUGUUCGGAAUUAUUGGGCGUAAAGCGCGUGUAGGCGGUCUUUUAAGUCUGAUGUGAAAGCCCCGGGCUCAACCUGGGAAGUGCAUUGGAAACUGGGAGGCUUGAGUACGGGAGAGGAGAGUGGAAUUCCUAGUGUAGGAGUGAAAUCCGUAGAUAUUAGGAGGAGCACCGGUGGCGAAGGCGGCUCUCUGGACCGAUACUGACGCUGAACGCGAAAGCGUGGGUAGCAAACAGGAUUAGAUACCC